AAGAAUAUUAUUUACAUAAUUAUAAGAUUGACUUCCUAUAACACUCCCCUCAAAUUGGAGCAUAGAUAUUAAUCAUGUCCAACUUGUUACAAAUGUAGUCAACCUGAGCCCUAUUCAAAGCUUUUGUAAAGAUAUCUCCUAAUUGCUCUCCGGUUUUGACAUGCUUUGUUGAGAUGAUCUUCUGUUGAAUCUUUUCUCAAAGGAAGUGACAAUCAAUUUCAAUAUGCUUAGUACGCUCAUGAAACACCGGAUUUGAGGCGAUAUGGAGAGCGGCUUGAUUGUCACACUAUAGUUUGGCACGAGAUGAGGUCUCAAAAUCCACUUCUUCCAAUAACUGAUGUGUCCACAUUACUUCACACACAGCCUGGGCCAUAGCCCAAUAUUUUGAUUCAGCACUCGAACGAAAAACUACAAUCUGUUUCUUACUUAUCUAAGAUACUAAGUUUCCUCCAACAAAGAUACAAUAUCUGUAUUAGAUCUCCUAUCAAUCUUUGAACCUGCCCAAUCUGCAUCCAAAAAACAUUCAAUAUUUAGUGUCCAUGAUUGAUAUAGGAGACCACGACCUGGAGCACCCUUCAAGUAACAUAAAAUUUGCCCCAAAGCUUCCCAAUGGUUAACAGCAGGAGAGGACAUAAAUUGACUUAUAAUACUAAUUGAAUAUGUAAUAUCCGGACGAGUCACUGUGAGAUAAUUAAGCUUGCCAACCAAUCUCCUAUACAUCUCAGGGUCCUCAAAUAGUUCACCAUCUCCUGUUGUGAGCUAAAGAUUUGGAGUCAUUGGUGCACUGCAUAGUUUGGCACCUAUUUUUCCUGUUUCCGUCAAUAAAUCAAGAACAUACUUUCUCUGAGAUAAGAAGAUGCCUUUCUUACACCUUGAAACUUUAAUGCCUAAGAAAUAUUUCAACAAACCCAAAUCUUUUGUUUGAAACUGAGUCUGAAGGAAUGACUUAAGUGAUGAAAUGCUUGUAGAGUCAUUUCCAAUAAUAACAAUAUCAUCAACAUAUACAACCAGUAGAAUUAUGGCAACAUCAAACUAUUUAUAAAAUACAAAGUGAUCACACUUACUCUUCUGCAUCCCAAAUACUUGAAUUGCCUUGCUAAACCUCCCAAACCAAGCAUGAGGACUCUGUUCCAAACCAUACAAGGAUUUAAGCAAUCGACAAACUUUCCCAUGCUCCCUCUAAGCAAAAAACCCUAGUGGUUGCUCCACAUAGACUUAUUUAUAUAGAUCACCAUGUAGGAAAGCAUUAUUAAUAUCUAACUGGUGUAGAAGCCAAUUAUAGGUAGCUGCUAAAGAGAUGAAUAAGCAAACAGAGACAAUUUUCGCUACAGGAGAUAAAGUGUCAAAAUAAUCAACACCAUAAAUAUGAGCAUAUCCUUUAGCAACAACAAGGCAUGCUUUAAGACAAGCCAUAGAGCCAUCAAGAUUAACCUUCAGUGCAAACACCCAUUUACAUCCAAUAACUUUCUUUCCUGUUGGUAAAGUUACCCAUUUCCAAGUACCAUUACCAUUUAAAGCUACCAUCUCCUCUUCCAUAGCAGCUCGCCAACCAGAAUGAGAUAAAGCUUCAUGAACCGUUUUAGGAAGGAAAACAGAAUCUAAUGAUGCAAGAAAAGAAAUGGAAGAGGAUGAUGUGAUCAUAAGAAACAAAUGAGGAAAUAAGAUAAGUACACUAACGUUUACCUUUUUUAAGCGCAAUUAGAAGAUCAAGACUAGGAUCAUGAUCACUGGAUUCCAAAUCCAACAGCAACGAGGCUAGUGAAGGACAUGAGUCUCUGGAUGCCGAGAGUAGACAUGGGCAACAUAUGGCCAAGCAGGUGCAGGUGCAGGCGCGACUGUAUGAAUAUCUGGAGUACUAACAGAAUGCGUGAUAGUAUAAACAAGUAGAUCAUCUUCCUCCCCUUGACUAUAAAUAGAAGAAGGGGAAAAGAAUGGAGUAUCCUCUAGAAAAGUAACAUUUGCAAAGACAAGAUAACUAUUAAGGGUAGGAGAAUAACACCAAUAACCUUUCUGAAGACAUAGGAGAGUAUCCAAGAAAAACAAAUUUGAGAUACUUUGGAUCUAAUUUGGUGGCAUGAGGACAAACGUCACGAACAAAACAAGAACUACCCAAAAUUCUAGGUUCAAUUGGAUACAAUGACUUCGAGGGAAAAAGAAUAGUAUAUGAAAGUCACUAUUAAGAACAGAAAAGGGCAUUCUAUUUAUAAAAAAACAAGCUGUAAAAAUAGUAUCAGCCCAAAAUUGUUUAGGGACUUUCAUUUGAAACAAAAGAGACAAGCUACCUCAAGCAGGUGUCUAUUUUUUCUUUCUGUAACCCCAUUUUGAAAGGGUGUAUCAACACAAGAGGUCUAAUGAAGGAUGCCAUUUUGUGAUGGAUAAGAUUGAUAGGUAGCUGAUAGAUAUUCUUUGACAUUGUCACUAAAUAAUGUGUGCAUGGAAACAUUAAAUUGUGUUUUUAUU
rnacentral:misc_RNA from 1 species